UACAGAGACUGCAAGCGUUAUUCGGAUUCACUGGGCGUAAAGGGCUCGUAGGCGGCCAACUAAGUCCGACGUGAAAUCCCCAGGCUUAACCUGGGAACUGCGUCGGAUACUGGAUGGCUUGAAUCCGGGGAGAGGGAUGUGGAAUUCCAGGUGUAGCGGUGAAAUGCGUAGAUAUCUGGAGGAACACCGGUGGCGGAAGGCGGCGAUCC
rnacentral:rRNA from 1 species